AUCCAGCUGACAAGUUCCAAAUUGUACGAAAUGCGUGUCCUGGAU
rnacentral:hammerhead_ribozyme from 1 species